CUGAGCCCGCCCACUCGCCCCUCAGUGGCUCUCCCAGCGAGGCGGGACGAAGAGGAAAGGGGCGUGGCCGAGCUGUUGCCCCGCCUCCGAGCCCUUGCCAGCCAAUGCCGGAAGCGCAUCGAGGCGUGGCCCCGCCUCCAGGCGCUCGUCAACGAAUGGUGGGAGCAGCCGGCGCAGUGGGUUCUGGCCACGCCCCUUCCGGGACACACCCACUCACGAGCAAGUCCCGCCCCUGAGUCGGGGGGGGGCGUUGCGCGCUGUGAUUGGCUGAGAGCGGAGCGUCAAUAAACGAUGGCAACCAAUGGGCGUGUUUUUGGGGGGCGGGGCUUCCGGGGUACGGAUGUAAACGAAGUGGGACCUACAGAAACCCCAUGAAAAUAAAGUAGGACCUACAGAAACUCCCUUGUAAUUA
rnacentral:lncRNA from 1 species